GACGCUGACAGCAAUUUUCGCCUUUGAAGCGGGGUGUCGCCGGUUCGAAUCCGGCCGGCGCUG
rnacentral:tRNA from 1 species